UGGACAGAGCUAUCAUAAAGGUUUUGAAGAUGUCAGCAGAUAUACCAUUAAACAUUAAUAUCAAGGAGCCCCGAUGGGAUCAAAGCACUUUUGUUGGACGAGCCAGUCACUUCUUUACUGUAACAGACCCCCGGAAUAUUUUGUUAUCUGAUGCCCAGCUGGAAAAUGCAAGAAAAAUAGUGCACGAUUACAGACAAGGUAUUGUGGCACCUGGCUUGACAGAAGAUGACUUGUGGAGAGCAAAAUAUAUCUAUGAUUCAGCCUUUCACCCAGACACUGGUGAAAAAAUGGUCUUGAUUGGCCGAAUGUCAGCUCAGGUACCCAUGAACAUGACUAUCACAGGUUGUAUGAUGACCUUUUAUAGAACGACACCAGCGGUGGUUUUCUGGCAGUGGAUUAACCAGUCCUUCAAUGCCAUAGUCAAUUACACAAACAGGAGCGGUGAUGCCCCGAUUACUGUAAGCCAGCUGGGAACAGCCUAUGUUUCUGCUACCACAGGUGCUGUCGCCACAGCUUUAGGACUUAAUGCACUGACAAAGCAUGUCUCACCUCUUAUAGGGCGGUUUGUUCCUUUUGCUGCUGUUGCUGCUGCUAACUGCAUUAAUAUUCCACUAAUGAGACAAAGGGAACUCAAGUUUGGAAUCCCCAUCACGGAUGAGAAUGGAAACAGACUGGGUGAAUCAACAAAAGCAGCUCAGCAGGCAAUUACCCAGGUGGUUAUAUCAAGGAUUCUUAUGGCUGCUCCUGGCAUGGCAAUUCCUCCCUUCAUAAUGAAUACAUUGGAAAAGAGAGCCUUUUUAAAGGGAUGUACAGCCUGCAUCUGAGUUUUGCUUUAUUGUUUUACAUUGUUUCCUGGACAACUCCAAUUCUUAAUAUUGACCUCCCACUGUUAGAAGUUUACCUCAUCAUCUUUCUUGAUUAAUUCAGUGUGGUAACAUUCUUAAAAAAUAAAGGCUGUAACUCAGAUCAAGUACCUCCUUGGCAAAAAAUGUUCCAGCACAUGAAAUAGAUGUUGUUUGUAUUGUCUUUACUAGUAAACACCUCUCACUCUCUCUCAGAUUAAUGACACACUCUGAUAAAGGCAUGAAAACAUCUAUUACUCUUAUGAUAACCUCUAACAGUCUCUUCAGUUACAAAAUCAUGUUUGGAAGUAUCUUGGGUCCCACACUCAUACUGCAACAUGCAACAACCCUCUCCCUUAAAUCUCCUCAGAGACUGAAAUCAUUUGCAGUACGGAGUUUGACGUGUUCCCAGAUACAUGUAAUAUUCAACCAGUGCCACAGUCCUACAUCCCUUUCACUGUCAGUCACACCGUCUCUUGUCAUGAGCUCUCCCAGCAUAUAAAAUAUAAAGUACUUUGAAUGAAUUUAUCUCAUCUGAGAGUCAAAUGAAAGUGUGUUUAGUGGAAUGCCAGAACAGCAGAGCACUGCUGCAUUCACCCUUUAUCCUUCUUGCUGUUGCUGUCUUUUUCCAUUUAUCUGUUGUUGCAGGUUAUUGCUGAAUUGCACGGUUCUUCCUGCACUCAUUUCUGGAUUACAGGUUGACUCGGGGCAGGGUGGGGGGGAGAAAAAAAAAGAUAAACAAUCUUCUACAUAAUUUCUUCUCCCUCAGGUUCUGUAGAAAAUUCAAUCCACACAGGCUUGUUUUCCAUGCCUCUUACACUGCUGUGACCUUCCUUAGAACGAAGAUUUGUCCUGCUGAGCUUCCUGAAUUUCUUUUUUCUGUUUCUAGUCUCAAAUAGAACCACCUUUUUUUCACCAGUUUCCCCUCUAACUCCUAUAUCUUGAGAAAUGCUUCUUGCAGAAAAAAAACACCAUCUUUGUUGAAAGCAUAAUCUACUUUAACAUGUGAUUUUUAACUCAUUAGGUGUUUUGUUUUCAAAUCAACUUCCUGUUAUCACAGCAGUUGUGUAUGUCCUACUUACUGCAGACACUGAUUUUAUUGCAGCAACAGAAGGCCGUUGCAGCAGUGUUAUUUAAACAGGUCUGGGUUUAUUUUUAGUAAUUAAUUACAACUAAAAUUCUAACAUGGGAAGGAAGUGGAUUCCUAAAUCAUUUAAAGGCCUACAAGAAAAUUUACCAUAUUUCUUGCCAUAUGUUCAAGUUCUGCAAAAGUUGCAGUAAUGAGGAAUAUGUUAAAAAUGCAUUUGUAGGUUAUGCGUUGCUUCCUCAGGUGUUUCCCCAGUUCUUCUCCCCUUUUUUCCUUUAGCGAAAGGUGAACUCUUGCAGAGCUGGAGCGUGUCAGACUGUGCUACAGGGGCAAGUUCCUGCAUGUCAGAGCAACUCAUAAGACAGGAAAAUGGGCUAAGUGAGGCAGACUUACGUGUUCCCUUUACACCUCUCAUUUAUGAGGUUUCCUUGGAUGAGUGCUCCUAUUCAAGUUGGAUUAGUUGGAUUCUGUCUUGUGUUUGCAACACCCCUGUGUUGUGCGCUAUUUCCUCAAAAAAGUUCUAUGUCUGUAACACGCUUGGAGCCAGAAUUGCAAGCCAAGAUCCAAGAGAACAACCCUGAACUAGAACGUGUGUACUUUAAUAAAGGAUUAUAAUUCAAGGAAGGGAAAAUAUA